AUGACCAAUGUGGUGGAGGUGAAAGUUGGUUUACAUUGUGAUGAGUGUAUCAAGAAAAUUCUCAAGGCCAUCAAGAAGAUUGAAGAUAUCGAGACAUACAACGUGGACAAACAAUUGAACAAGGUUAUUGUUACUGGCAAUGUUACGAAUGAAGAAGUGAUUGGAAUUCUUCAUAAGGCUGGCAAGAAUGCAACUGUGUGGGAAAAUGUUCAAUGUUGA